rnacentral:miRNA from 14 species
AGCCAAUUUUUUCCGUGGUGAUA